rnacentral:lncRNA from 1 species
UUCUCGCUCCCAGCAUACCGUGCGAUAGCGGCGGCGCGGCCAGCGGAGCCGGGAGGCGGGUUAGCAGUGGCCUUGUGAGCGUGAGGAGCUGCCGCCACCGCCUGCUCCUCGUCGUCCUCGUCCUCCGCGGCCCCGGCGACGUGGGCCGCGCACGGCCCUGGAAGAGACGUCGCCUCCCCUUCAUCCACCUCUCUCUCACCGCGCCGCUCCCGCCUCCUCGUCCUGUGCUGCGGGCUCAGGCGGAACCCGGAACGGUCGUCCUCUUCCCCCGCCCGCCGCCGCCUCCUCCUUCUCCUCCUUCUCGGCUUCCUCCUCAGCCCCGGGCCGGAGCGGGGUGUUGGCGGCGGCCGGUUCGGGCGGCGACUCGCGCUUCUCUGGGCGGCGGCGCUUGGCCAUGUCGUGUCGGGGAAGGUAAUGAGCCGCAGAGCCCCGGGGUCUCGGCUGAGCGGCGGCGGCGGCACCAACGGCACCAACUAUUCGCGGAGCUGGAAUGACUGGCAACCCAGAUUGACUUGAUGCACAACAUCACAAAGGCGAUUUUUGAGAACUGAUAGUGCAUCAGCCGACCCAGGUAAUUUAAAAUAUUCUUCAUCCAGA